rfam:Rhodopseudomonas palustris BisB18, complete genome.
UGGUCGGGAGGUCCGCCGUCGUGGACCGUUGGAAUCUUUAUUCCACCCGGCCG